GAUGAACGCUAGCUACAGGCUUAACACAUGCAAGUCGAGGGGUAACGAGAGGAAAGCUUGCUUUCCUUGUCGACGACCGGCGCACGGGUGAGUAACGCGUAUCCAACCUGCCCCCAACUAGGGAAUAACCUUGCGAAAGUAAGACUAAUACCCUAUAAUUUCCUCAGAUGUCAUAUGACGAGGAAUAAAGAUUUAUCGGCUGUGGAGGGGGAUGCGUCUGAUUAGCGUGUUGGCGGGGUAACGGCCCACCAAGGCAACGAUCAGUAGGGGUUCUGAGAGGAAGGUCCACCACAUUGGAACUGAGACACGGUCCAAACUCCUACGGGAGGCAGCAGUGAGGAAUAUUGGUCAAUGGGCGGAAGCCUGAACCAGCCAAGUAGCGUGCAGGAUGACGGCCCUAUGGGUUGUAAACUGCUUUUAUACAGGAAUAAAGUUAGCCACGUGUGGUUAUUUGUAGGUACUGUAUGAAUAAGGACCGGCUAAUUCCGUGCCAGCAGCCGCAGUAA
rnacentral:rRNA from 1 species